AUGGUACAUAAUACCCUUUUUAAAUAGUGUGGUUUAUUCCACCAAACUAAAUCUAAAAGUUGAAUGUCUACUACUUUCAUUGUUGCUUGGGGAACAUCCAAUGCCAUUACAGUACAUGCUAGUCUUGAUAAAGCAAUACGACCGUUGAAAUAUAUAAAUCCAGCAGGGCUAGUAGAUGUGGGUGCUCACUGCCCUAUAAUCCGCUUCAUUGUCAAUUGACAGCGAGUCUCUUUGGAGCUAGGAGCGGUCGACAUCUUGAAUUGGAGUAAGAAAUCACUCCUCAUGGCCUGUUAUGACUGAGAGGCUGCCAUCAUGAUUGGAGGAUUGUUCAUCUACAACCACAAGGGGGAGGUGCUGAUCUCCCGCGUCUACCGUGAUGACAUAGGGCGCAACGCGGUGGAUGCGUUCCGCGUGAACGUGAUCCAUGCGCGGCAGCAGGUGCGCUCGCCGGUCACCAACAUCGCCCGCACCAGCUUCUUCCACGUCAAGCGCUCCAACAUCUGGCUGGCGGCGGUCACCAAGCAGAAUGUUAACGCUGCCAUGGUGUUCGAGUUCCUCUACAAGAUGUGCGACGUCAUGACGGCCUACUUCGGCAAGAUCAGCGAGGAGAACAUCAAGAACAACUUUGUGCUGAUCUACGAGCUGCUGGACGAGAUCCUGGACUUUGGCUACCCCCAGAACUCGGAGACUGGGGCACUGAAGACCUUCAUCACUCAAACGGGCAUCAAGAGCCAGCACCAUUCCAAGGAGGAGCAGUCUCAGAUCACCAGUCAGGUGACUGGGCAGAUCGGCUGGCGUCGCGAGGGCAUCAAGUACCGUCGCAACGAGCUCUUCCUGGAUGUGCUGGAGAGCGUCAACCUGCUGAUGUCUCCACAAGGCCAGGUGCUGAGCGCCCACGUCUCGGGCCGCGUGGUGAUGAAGAGCUACCUGAGCGGCAUGCCGGAGUGCAAAUUUGGAAUGAACGACAAGAUCGUCAUCGACAAACAGGGCAAAGGGGGUGCCACCGAGGAGGCGGCGGGCAAGAGUGAUUUGGGGGGCAGUGGCGGUGGUGGCGGUAAGCAAUCCAUAGCUAUUGACGAUUGUACAUUCCACCAGUGUGUGCGUCUCAGUAAGUUUGACGCUGAGCGCAGCAUCAGCUUCAUUCCUCCGGACGGCGAAUGUGAACUCAUGAGGUACCGCACCACCAAGGACAUCAUCCUACCCUUCCGUGUCAUCCCCCUUGUCAGGGAGGUGGGCCGCACCAAGCUUGAAGUCAAGGUGGUCAUUAAGUCCAACUUCAAGCCCUCGCUUCUGGCUCAGAAGAUUGAGGUAUGGCUACAGAGGGAUAUAGGGGUACCAAGUGAGCGUAGAGCUUUGGACACAGUACCUGACCAGGUCGUGGUCAUCAUGGUCAGGUGCGCAUCCCCACCCCUCUCAACACCAGCGGGGUCCAGGUGAUCUGCAUGAAGGGCAAGGCCAAGUACAAGGCCAGCGAGAACGCCAUCGUCUGGAAGAUCAAGCGUAUGGCAGGGAUGAAGGAGUCUCAAAUCAGUGCUGAGAUCGAGCUGCUGCCCACCAACGACAAGAAGAAGUGGGCGCGCCCUCCCAUCUCCAUGAACUUUGAGGUGCCAUUUGCUCCGUCCGGACUCAAGGUGCGCUACCUGAAGGUGUUCGAGCCCAAGCUGAACUACAGUGACCACGACGUCAUCAAAUGGGUGCGCUAUAUCGGCCGCAGCGGCAUCUACGAGACACGCUGCUAACCGCCACCUCACAAUCAGGUGGAAAGAGGGACGCAACAGGGAAGAGGCUGGAACAAGGGAGGGAGCGAAAAAUGACAACAUGGGAUCGUUUCUUUCAGUCUUUUUUUCCCCUGGGCUGGCUGACAAACGAAAAAAAUCUAUAUAUUGAAAAGUAUUAUAUUAUUAAACGCAUAUAUGUAUAAAUAAUGCAAACAUCCUGUGAAGUACAAAAAAUACCAUCUGCAUCUAAAGGGUCUUUUCCCCCUUUUUAAUCUAAACAAAAAAUCCAUUCCACCCCAUGAUAUGAUAUGUUGUCUACUAUUCCUGUACUACCCAUCUAUUCCCCAUGGCACUGCCCAUAACCACAGAUCUAGAAUCAGAUUACGCACCAUACCCUCAAUCCUAAUGUGUUAGGAAGUUAAAAAAGUAUCUGACCAUGUAUGGCUUAGGAGUAACUGCUACCCUCCCUCUCUUGAUGCUGGCGUAGGAGUGUGUGUUGCUCUUCUGUUCUCCUGUAGCAACUAACGUCUCCUGUCCCACCUCUCUCUCCCCAGCCCUGCCCCUGUAUCUGUAUAUCUAACCGGUGGAGUCACUCUUUAGCCUAGUGUGUAGUUUUCAGCAGUAUGUAGUGUAGAUGCAUCCAUUAAGUGUCAUUCCAUUUUCAAUACAUUUUAUACGUUUUGUUAUUUUAACACCCGGCCUUCCCCGAGUAUUUUAGUCAUGAAUCGUCAUGUGUUUUUGUAUUUAGUGCUUUGUCGUGCUUCUCUAAAGCUCUCUGGCCACCAUUCCAUCACGCUCUCUCACUGUCUUAUCCCACACCCUUAGACCUCCUCUACUAUUUCCAAUAGCUGGUGGUGUCCUUGUUAUUAUGAUUCCUCUUGACGCAGAUAUAAUAAUGAUGAUUUUUUUGCUGUAGUUCCUGUCAUUUUCUGUCUUUAGUGCUGCAGAGAUUCCUUCUGUGUGACCAAAAUUGUCAGUUUUAGGAACAAAAAAAAUGUAGCGAUGACAAUAGACGGGACACAUCAGUCUAUGAAUAUAAAUAUAUAUAAACACAUUUCUAUAUUGUAUGAAUGGUAAAAAUGUGCUAUCGAGCAGAGCCAGUUGUUACGGUCUCAGUGGACUGCUGUUAUGGUGUUUGUGUAGGAGACUCGGUUGAGCAGAUCUCUCUCUGUGUGUGUGUGUGUGUGUGUGUGUGUGUGUGUGUGUGUGUGUGUGUGUGUGUGUGUGUGUGUGUGUGUGUGUGUGUGUGUGUGUGUGUGUGUGUGUGUGUGUUGAUAUUCUUCCCCAGGACCACAAUCUGCUCAACAUGUCUCAGGAAUCUGAAAUUCUGGCUGCAAAUUCCCAGUUCUGAUCCCGACUGGAAUUCUGACCCUCCCAUACGCUUUACAUUAGCAUGGGUGUAUUUCUUGACCAGUUAAAGGGAUAGUUCACCAAAAUUACAAUGGCAUUGGUUUCCUUACACUGUAAGCAGUCUAUGUACAAGGUAUGACAACAACAUGCUUUGGUUUAGUUUCCCUGGCACUGUUAUCACAUGCUAACGUUUUAGCAUUUGUGGCACAAAUCCCAAUCAAGUCAUGGGACCGAUAUUAGUAUUUGUCGCGCAUCAUGUUCAAAUCAAUUUGAGAUCCAUUUGGACAUGAUGCAUCAAAAAUGAUAAUAUCUGUCCCAUGACUUCAAUGGGAUUUGUGCCACAAAUGCUAAAAUGUUUGCAUGUGGAAACGGUGCCAAGGAAACUAAACCAAAGCAUGGCUUGCUGUCAUACCUUGUCCAAAGACUGCUUACAGGGUAAGGUAACUAAUUUGUAAUUUGGGUGAACUAUUCCUUUAAGCUUCAAUAACCCCCUACAUUCCAUGUGCACUGAUUUCCCCCACCCAUACAAAAAAAGAUAUUGUUUACAACUUAAUUUUGAAAUCAGUUUAAUGAAGGGAUUUGGAUAUGGAACAAUGGUGUUUGUUACCAGAGAGAGAAAUGGGCAGCGUCCCAAAUAGUACAUUACUUUUAAGGUGCCAUUUGGGACAGAGACGGAGUGAGUGAGUGUUCAACUCAACUCAGCCUACUAGACUUGGACUGCCUGCAUUUCAAAUUAACAUUUUAAAAUAUUCCACCUUUCCGAUAAUGAGUGCGGCUUCAGAUAGCGUUCCUCUUCCUCCUAUAUUCCUUCUAGUUCAAUCAUGGCUAUUGUGUGUAUUAAACAAAGGCUAUCAGAUUGUCUGAGCAUUUGCAGUUGCAAAAAACACUCAGUGUGACACUACAUAAUGUUUACAUUCUCUUUUUCUCUGGCACUACGUUCUACCAAUGAACACUAAAAGCGCUUCUGCUAACUUCUGAAAAACCCUAUCUCUCUGGCUGUCUGUAAUUGCACACUAUUCCCAAAAUCCUAUGGGCCCUGGCCAAAAGUAGUGCACUAUAUAGGCAAUAGGUUGCCAAUUCAGACCUAGUCUCUCUCUCUGGUCAAUGCCCACUAUGUCAUGCCACACCCUGAGAGAUGGGGAGGGAGAGUCCUGGGGGCUUGACCCUCUGCUUCAAUGUUUCCAUUGGCUCCAUUUGGUAACUAUGUGACUGUCAAGGUAAUCCCAAUAAAAAGGUGUAACCAAUGGAA